rnacentral:misc_RNA from 1 species
UCAAGGGUACCCCUCCCUCACCCUCACCCACAGACAUAUUUCACCGAAGGCUGAGAGAGAGCCGCGCACCAACAUUUACGUUAUUAUUAUUUUUUUUUCGUCUUCUCCAUAGCGCAGUAAACACAAAAUGGUGAAAGCGAACUCCGGGGCCGAGAACAUCCGCGUCGUCAUCCGCUGCCGCGACAUCCUCCCGUACGAGGCGGAGCGCGGUGACAAGGCGCUCGUUCGCCUCGAUCUGGCAACGAACCAGGUGGUGGUGCAGCACCCCAUCGGCGACGCCGAUGUGUUUGCCUUCGACGCCGUCUACAACAACUCCUUCACCCAGCGCGACAUCUUCCUGCAGGAGGUGCAGCCUCUGGCGGAUGCGGUGCUGCAAGGCUACAACGCUACCGUCUUCGCCUACGGUCAAUCCGGGUCCGGUAAGACGCACACGAUGACAGGUAAGCUGAGCCAGCGGAACAUGUGGGGUAUGAUGCCGCAGGUAGUCGACUACCUCUUCUCCGAGAUCAAGAAGCUCACAUCGUCCACGAAGACCUUUAAGGUGAAGGUGUCCUACGUGGAGCUGUACAACGGCAAGUCACGCGACUUGCUCUCCUCGAAGCAGGUAAACCUGGAGAUCAAGCAGAACACGUCCAAGAACUUCUACGUGAAGGGUGCGGAGAUGCCAGAGGUGACUAGCUUCGAGGAUGCCAUCAAAUGGUUCAACGCUGGCACGGAGAGGCGGCAGACGGCCUCGACCGACCUAAAUGACACAAGCAGCCGCAGUCACUCACUCUUCACAGUGCAGAUUGAGCACUUCGACUUCGAGAACGACCCGAGCUCGCCAAUCGUCAUGACGAGCAAGAUCAAUGUGGUCGACUUGGCCGGGUCGGAGAAGCUCAGCAAGACGAACGCAACUGGCGAGACGGCAAAAGAAGGGUGCAACAUCAACCUGUCCCUGUCCGCGCUGGCCACGGUGAUCGACACAAUCGUGAAGGGGGCAAAGCACAUCCCAUACCGCGGCUCACCGCUGACGAUGCUGCUGAAGGACUCCCUGGGCGGUAAUGCCAAGACAGUGAUGUUCGCGAACGUCGGCCCCUCCGAUAAGAACCUGUCCGAGACGAUUUCGACGCUCCGGUUUGCGCUGCGCGCAAAGCAGAUCGAAAACAAGCCCAUCAAGAACAUGGACCCAAAGGAUGCCCGCAUCCAGGACCUGAUGGAGCAGAUCGAAGAUCUUAAGAAGCGGCUGGGCAACGUAGACCUCAACGUGGAGGACAGCCUGCGCCAGCGCAUCGAGGAGCUCGAGGUCGAGAACUCCGACCUUCGCGGCGGCAGCGAGAAGAACAGCAUCGAACUUGAGGAGCGGAACCGCUUCCUGCUGGCUCAGAUCGAGGAGAAAGAGAAGGAGGUGGUGGAGCGGCAGCACGAGAUUCGAAAAGAGAUGGAGCGGCGUGAGCUUGUGGAGUCGAACCUGUCGAACGAGUCCAGCCGGCUGCGCGAUCUACGGCUUGCCAAUGUCAACUUCCUCAAGCGUGUGUGCACCGAUGAGCAGCUGGAGCAGAUUCGGAUGCACAUGUCGCCUGACAAGGCAGCCAAGAAAAAAUCAGACGAGUGGGACGUGAAAGAGAUCGGCUUCUAUCUCCAUGGCUUUGCCGAGCAGUACGAGCAGUGGCGGAAGGUGACGUACACACAGGAGGACAUGGAGAAGUACGCUCGGCGCGCGAUGGCCGAACUGGAGAGACAGACGCAGCGCCAGCUGAACGACGCCGCGCACGCGAAGGAAGACUUGCAGCGUCAGCGGGACGAGGAGGCGGCGCGCCGCACCGCUGAGCAAGGCGCCACAUCGCAGCUCAAGGUAGAUCUCAACGCCUUACGAGAGGAGAACGUCAAGCUGCGGGAGAAGAUCGAGCGCGAUCAAGAGAAGAUCAAGGUGAAGCUGGCCAAGGCGAAGGAUGAGAUAAAGGCGCUGCAGGAUCAGGUCGAGUCAGCAAAGUCGAAAGUCACCGAGAAGGAGCGCGAAGUGAAGCGGUUGCGGCUGAUGCUGGAGGAGCAGGGGGGUGCUAGCAUUGUUAGCGCCGCCGGCGGUCCGCGCAGGUCGCUCAGCGUUCCUGGGCAAGACCCAACGGAGUGGGGCAACGGAGGGGAGCGUGCUGCCAUAAUGCGUGAGUUAGAGGCGGCGCGCCACGCCAAGUCCGUGCUCGAGAACCGCAUCAAGGAGACGAACGUGUCCCUGCGCCGCUUCGGCAUCUGCAUCGCCGACCCGCAGAGCCUCGAGGGCGCAGAGGCGACCACCGCGAACGAGGUGCAGGCGUUUGUGCUGGCGGCGACCGAGGAGGAGCCAGUCGACGGUGACGUAGUAGCGCAGCUGCAGCAGCAGCUGCGCACCAAGCAGCGCCUCGCAGAGCUCAUGCAUCAGCACCAGAUGCGGCUCAAUGACAUGAUCUGCAAGUACGAACUCCUCAAGACCGGCCAUGUUACAGCGUACUCGGCGGCGACAGGUAGCGCGGCCGCUGGUGCUGUCUCUGCGGGUGUCGCCCAAGGGAUACCGGCCGAUAUGAACGGCAUCGGCGGCAUCGAUGAAGCCACCGCCAACCAGGUGAGGGAGCUGCUGCAGCGCAAGGAGGACCAGAUGGAGGCGAUGCGGCUGGAGAAGGACCAGGCCUGCGACAAGCUCGUCAAGAAGCUGAACAAGUCGGAGCGCAAGCUGCGGGAGCUGGAGUCUAUGCUGGAGGAGGAGCGCACGCAGUUCACCGAGGAGAAGGCCGAGAUGACGAAGGAGGUGGCCGAGCUGCAGAGCUACAACCAGCAACUCGCCCUCGAGCUCGAGAACGCGCGCAGCCAACUCGAGUUUGUCAAGGCGGAGAUGGCCAGCGCCGUACGCGCCAAGGAAAGCGAGGUGGACUACUACAAGACCCAGGUGGAGGAGGCGAACCAGCGCCUCGACGACAUCCGCAACACCGCCGCCGAGUUCGAGGAGCAGCGCAAGAGCUACCAGAGGCUGCAGGAGCAAGUGGCGCGAACCGAAGACGCCCUCGCCAUCAAGAACGAGGAGCUUGAGAGCAACCGCCAGAUGGUGCAGUGGUCCAACCGGCAGCUCGAGAAGGAGAAGCAGAAGAAUGACGAGCUGGAGCAGGCGCUGCAGGACAAGCAGCUGGAGCUGCGCCAGCAGGAGCAGAACUUCCAUGCCGAAAUGGCGGAUCGUUUGAACGCACUGGCGGCCAGCAACAACCGUCGUCUCGCGGAGAACGCCGCGCAAUGCGAGGAGCGCAUCAACGAAGAGCGCAUGAAGGAAAAGGCGCUGCAGAAGAAGAUCAAGAAUGCCAAAACGACAGCCAGCAAGGCUGCACAGCGCUACGACGAGAUGAUCCUGGAGAACGAGGCGCUGCUGUCGAAGCUAGAGGAGCUGAAGGUAACCUCGAUGAAGAUGUAUCUUGAGCGGCAGGAGUCUCAGCGCGAGCAAGACUACCGACCGGGCAACACCAUUCGGUCGCGCGGGCUUUGAUGCGUGUGCCGGUAUAAUAACAGGGGCGUGCAGGCCGUACCCCUCUCCCCCUCUUUUCCUCCCCAGCUCGAGAAGGGAGAGCAGACGGGCUCUCUGGCGCACUCUCACAGACAAGCACAGAAGCCUGUUACUACCUCUGCCCCUCCUCCUCUUCACAGUCGGCCCUUUUUUUUUGCCGUGUUGCCAUUCUUUAGCGGUAUUUUGGUGCUUGGUAUUGCCAUAUCUGUUACACGCACCUUCUCCUGUCCCCCGGCCCUAUGGCUCGAGGUGUGUCUGAUGGGAUCCAGUCGCUUGCCUGCUUUGCUGGUGCCUAUCUCUAUUUCUCUACAGGAAUGUGUGUGUGUGUGUGUGUGUGUCUAAGCGCUGGUAUGGACAGGCGCUUGCUGCUAUUGGGUCUUUGUUUUUCUGGCACGUUCAUUCUCCUCUGUUAUCAAGGGCCUCCCUUCCCUCCCGUACCCGUUCUCCGUCCUCCGUCGUUUUUUUUUUUCUUCCCGCUGUUUUAUUAUUAUUACGGCGCACAGAUUGGACUGUCGCCCUCUCGGGGUGUUCCUUUGCACACACACACACACAUAUGUGUGUGUAUUUUUUGAAAAUCCUUUGUCCGGCGAUGAAUCUGGCCUUGUCGUGACUUUCUGUGUUGCGCGUGUUGUUUUCCUGUCUAUGUGUCGUCCUUCAUGCUGUUGGUAAAGUGGGGCCGGGCUCUUCGCUCUCCCCCUUCUGCUCUCCUUUUUCCUCCUCCGCGUCGUGUUUUACCUUUUUUUGUUUGGUCUGUGUCUGCAUGUUGCGUUUCUUCUGUCCUGUUCUGGGCAUCCUUCUCCGGAAGAUGUCAAUCCCCUUCCCUGUCUGCGUGCACACAUGCAUGUGGGUGGUGUGUACGUACGUAUAUGUGCUUGAUGUGGAAACAAAAGGAGGCGCAAAAGAACGAAGACACAAUUCAGCAACGCACAAGGAAUUAGAUUUUGGCGGGGUGCUGACAUACACGCACACACAAACACAUCGUCUUUUUUUUUCCAAUGUAUUUUGGUUCUUUCUUGCGUCCAUCACUUUUCUCCCUCUCUCCCCCUUCUCCGUAGCGUACGCGGCGGUGCACGACGCAUCGCAUGUGCUUCUGAAGGCAGUAGGCCCUCCGACAAGCGCGCAGAAAGGAAC